rnacentral:rRNA from 1 species
UUUCAACCCUUAAGCCCCUGUUGCUUAGCGUUGGGAGCCUACCGGAAACCGUCCGGUAGCUCCCCAAAGUCAGUGGCGGAGCCGGUUCGCACUCCAGACGUAGUAGCUUUUACACGUCGCCUGUAGCGCGGGCCGGUCCCCUGCCGUAAAACCCCCAAAUUCUUAUAGGUUGACCUCGGAUCAGGUAGGAAUACCCGCUGAACUUAAGCAUAUCAAUAAGCGGAGGAAAAGAAACCAACAGGGAUUGCCCUAGUAACGGCGAGUGAAGCGGCAACAGCUCAAAUUUGAAAUCUGGCCCUCGGGUCCGAGUUGUAAUUUGUAGAGGAUGCUUUUGGCGCGGUGCCUUCCGAGUUCCCUGGAACGGGACGCCUUAGAGGGUGAGAGCCCCGUACGGUUGGACACCAAGCCUCUGUAAAGCUCCUUCGACGAGUCGAGUAGUUUGGGAAUGCUGCUCUAAAUGGGAGGUAAAUUUCUUCUAAAGCUAAAUAUUGGCCAGAGACCGAUAGCGCACAAGUAGAGUGAUCGAAAGAUGAAAAGCACUUUGAAAAGAGGGUUAAACAGCACGUGAAAUUGUUGAAAGGGAAGCGUUUGCGACCAGACCUUCUCCUGGCGGAUCAUCCGGUGGUUUCCACCGGUGCACUUCGCCAGGUCGAGGCCAGCAUCGGUCUCUGUAGGGGGAUAAAAGCUCGGGGAACGUAGCUCCUCCGGGAGUGUUAUAGCCCUCUGCAUAAUACCCUUACGGGGACCGAGGACCGCGCCUUCGGGCAAGGAUGCUGGCGUAAUGGUUGUCAACGACCCGUCUUGAAACACGGACCAAGGAGUCGAACAUUUGUGCGAGUGUUUGGGUGUCAAACCCUCACGCGUAAUGAAAGUGAACGGAGGUGAGAGCCCUUACGGGUGCAUCAUCGACCGAUCCUGAUGUCUUCGGAUGGAUUUGAGUAAGAGCAUAACUGUUCGGACCCGAAAGAUGGUGAACUAUGCGUGGAUAGGGUGAAGCCAGAGGAAACUCUGGUGGAGGCUCGCAGCGGUUCUGACGUGCAAAUCGAUCGUCAAAUCUGCGCAUGGGGGCGAAAGACUUAUCGAACC